GAAAUAUACUUAAUUAAGCUGCUAACUUAAUUUAUAGUGGUUAAAUUCCAUUAAUAUUUCU
rnacentral:tRNA from 1 species